UUAUUUCAGUGUGGGAACCAUGAAGCUUCGUGUCUUCAGCAUUAUUAGAAGAGGGGUGAUCAGGAAAAGCAGAGUGGUCAACUCUGCCGGCACCAGGAUCUGCUUCUGCUAUGUUCAACUGAUGUCUCUGCUCUGGUCAACUGUGCCAGGGCCAGAAUCUGCCUCUGCUACACUCAACUGAUGCCUCUGCUCUCAUCAUGCCAAAGGACCAGCUUGCUGAUCUCACUACUCUGUAUCUCCUACUACUUCUGCACCACAAGAGCCGUGGCCGCGUUAUCUUUUGGAGGUUUCUCUUUGCUGAACCAUCACUGAUUGAGCUCAUUUCAUGUGCUCUCCAUCAAGACUCCCAAGGAAGGAGCACAAUGAGGAAGAAUGCAGAGAAGCCAGCCCAGCUGAAUGGAGGAGACAGAAUGGGGGUAGGCCCACUAGCUGGGAGGAGUUACAGGGAGGCAGACAGCUGGAGGACAGGAAAAGUGUAGAAGAGACACAAAUUCAAACAUAGAGGAAGAAAUACCCCGACACCUUCAGCUGGCCUAUGCCUGUGACCUCUAGGGAAAGGUGGGUGAUGAGGCUGGGUUUGGCAAGCCUAACAGCCUCACUAGAAGCUUAGACAAUGGCAGUCAUUUUGCAAGACAAAAAUGAAAGCAAAGUGCAAGCUCUAUUUUGAGCAGUCAUCACAGUCAGGACAGUAGACACAGACCUUCCACGCUAUCCGGGGCCUGUCAC
rnacentral:lncRNA from 1 species